GAUCCCAUAUUUAUUUAGAGAAAGUCAUACACCACUCUGAUUAUAGUGAUGUUAAAUUUCUCAUACCCAUAUACUCUUCUGAGCUC
rfam:Nicotiana sylvestris Nsyl_contig45751, whole genome shotgun sequence.